rnacentral:rRNA from 1 species
AUGAUCUCCCCGCGCCCCACUCUCUCCUCCGGUUUCUUCUCCCGCUCCGCCUCCUUCUCCCGCCCGGCCUCAUUCUCCCCGUCGCCGCCUGCCUCGCCGGCCGCCCAGGCGCCGCCGCCGCUGCUCUCGGCCCCGUUCGCCCGCCCCGCCACCUUAUCCUGCUCCGCCGUCGCCGCCCCGGGACGCGGCGCCUCCUCCUGCUUGUACGACGUGCUCGGCCUCGACGCCGGCGCGAGCGACGGGGAGAUCAAGGCCGCGUACCGCCGCCUGGCGCGCGCCGUCCACCCGGACGUGUCCCCGCACCCCGCCGACGACUUCAUACGGGUGCACGCCGCCUACAGCACGCUCUCCGACCCCAGCAAGCGCGCCGACUACGACCGCCGCAUGAUCAUGAUCCCCUCCGCCGUCGGCCGCCGCAGCGCCCCGAACCUCGCCCGCUCGCCGUCGUUCCCCGGGUGCCGUCGCCGCACCUGGGAGACUGACCAGUGCUGGUGA